rnacentral:rRNA from 1 species
GAUGAACGCUGACAGAAUGCUUAACACAUGCAAGUCUACUUGAACUUCGGUUUGGGUGGCGGACGGGUGAGUAACGCGUAAAGAACUUGCCUCACAGUUAGGGACAACAUUUGGAAACGAAUGCUAAUACCUGAUAUUAUGAUUUUAGGGCAUCCUAGGAUUAUGAAAGCUAUAUGUGCUGUGAGAGAGCUUUGCGUCCCAUUAGCUAGUUGGAGAGGUAACGGCUCACCAAGGCGAUGAUGGGUAGCCGGCCUGAGAGGGUGAACGGCCACAAGGGGACUGAGACACAGCCCUUACUCCUACGGGAGGCAGCAGUGGGGAAUAUUGGACAAUGGACCAAAAGUCUGAUCCAGCAAUUCUGUGUGCACGAUGACGUUUUUCGGAAUGUAAAGUGCUUUCAGUUGGGAAGAAAAAAAUGACGGUACCAACAGAAGAAGUGACGGCUAAAUACGUG